CCUCCCACCAUACUGUCAAACGUGCCACCAAAAAUUGGCGACUGUUGCCGAAUAGUGGCGAACGAUUCGAGAAAACUCGAAAAUCAACUCUAGGAUUUCACACUUGCUUGCGAGAAGGAAGGACAUCGUAUUGGUAAUCGUUUACUUGAAUGGAAUUUUGUGCGAACGAAAUUUAUUUAUUUAUUUAUUCAUUCAUUCAUUGAAUUCGUUAUAAUCUACGACGAAUUACGACGGAAUUGUUCGAGUUAAGUGGAUAAGAACGUAAGCAUCGAUUAUCUUGAAAGAAUGACAUCAUUACGAAUUAGCAUGAUCGAGAGACGUAAGAAUGGAAGACAUCAAACGAGGACGACGAUUGCUUGCUAAAUUAAAUGCGUACGUCGUGUUUGGAUUCUCUAAGCGCUAAACGCACGACGAUAAUAACUGUGUGCAGAUGCAUAAGAAAAUAUCUUUUGUCCUUUUUUUUUGUUUUUUAUUUUCUUUUUUAUUUUACCUUUUAUUUUUAUCUUUUCUCUCUUUUUCUUUCCGUACGAAUGGGAUAAUCAAAAAGAAUGAUUUCUAUUAAAAGCCGAUGAUAUCAUGUAAGAUGGCUUAAACGCGAAAUAAACACGUUCAACUACCGCGAGUAAGAUGACGAUGAAGAUAUUUAAAAAACUAAAAGGGAACUUUUCGAAUGUCGACCUGUAAAUACAUAUUUAUAAUAUGUUAAUAUUGCGCUCAUA